GCUCCACUCCUGCAGCCUUGCGGUCCAGGCUGGGAUGGGACAGAGCAGCCUCCAUCACAGGCUGAAUGACGUGACCUCACCCACGGGCCCCUCUGCUGUGGAAGCGGCCUACUUUGGAGACAAACUUGUCAGAGGAAAGUAUAGCAACCCUUUAUCAGUUUCAUGGCUUUCAUGGAAUGAAGUAUCUCUGAUUCUAGAAUAAAAAU
rnacentral:lncRNA from 1 species